UAUACAUCCUGCCUUGAAGCAGUGAUCAGAAGGCGAGAAACUAUGGGUUGGAGGUGAUCUUGUCCUAGGUAGCGAGUCCUUUGAGCAAUACUUGGCUAUUAUGCACCAGGAAGGCCACCUGGAUGAUGACUUAAACUUUUCUAGAUCUCAGCAUGAAGAAACAUGCACAGACCAAGUCAUCUGGAGCAAUGUCUCACUUUUCAGUAGAUUUAUAAGGAGCCUGGAUGCUCUCAUCAAGAAAGCGAAGACUCCUGAGACCAACCUGCCCAUAUAGUUGGUGAGCCUGAGUCUGCAGGAUAUCAACUGUUCCUUCCACCCUCCUGAUGAGCACUUGGAGCAUGAGGACAAACUGAACAGUUUGCAUGCCCUGAAGAAUUGGCAGAACCUCUUCUGGGGAGAGCGGCUCUAAUUACAGAAAAUUGUAAAAACAGCUCAAUUUUCUGGUUCCUUUGACUGGCUGAUCAACAGACUGGAAAGACUAGAAGCUUCCACUAGUAUGUUUUCCCGUUCUCUUCUUAAUGAGAGGUAUUUUUCCUGUUUUCUGUUGCUCUAUGCCCUUGGAAGACAAACUGAUAUUCUAUGUUUUCUUCUUUUAAUUGGUAAAGAUUCUAAUUUGUUGGUUGGAUCAUUAGUAUUAUUUUUAAUCAUUUCUGAAUACCAAUUGAACAGUAUCCUUCCUGUCCAUUUCCACUUUUAAAAGAAGUCGUGUUAUGAGUCCAGAAAGCCACUGCAGAGCUGGAGUUCUCAUUCUUUCCCGUGACUCUAAAGGACUUGAGAAGCAGAAAGAUGGGGAGGGGAUUCUUUUUUCCACUUUUGAUCAAAAAAUUAUUUUGAUAGUUUUGUGGAGAGAAUUAUUUGGAUAGUUUCCCAAAUUACAUAGCACAACAUUUCAAUUAAGAGGAAUUUAGUAAAUAUUAAUGAACACUCUGUGUAAUGGGAAAGUAAUUACUGGCAACCUGAUCCAUGCAUCUUUAAUUGGCUAGUUUUAUUCUGGUGUAUUGGGGACUUUUCCAUGUUGCCAGGCUGGCUAGGAGGGGAACUGGAAGCAGGAAGGGGCAGAGCACUCACUAGGUUCUCUAGUCUAGGGGAUUGGAUGUCAAAACCUGAGAUAUGGAGACACAUGGAAAGAAAAUUAUGAGAUCCAGGGAAUGAGGUCACCUAGAAGGUCUGAUGAUCCCUACCACCCAUCUUUUUUUUUAUCAUCCUUUUCCUUUAAUUCAUCUCCCUUUCACUCCACUGUUAUAUUCUGUACAUUCUGUACCUACAAUUGAAGACAGGUGACAUUGCUAAUUAAUAAUUACCUCCAACUUUAAACGGCAGUAGGCAGACCCCUCACCUCUAUUUCUACAAAGCAGUAAUACCUUCUCAGCAUUCACAUUACCCUGAGUAAUUUCUAGAGUCCUUGGAAGUACUUCCAGUCAUUUUCCCACUAUCUCAUGGAUCUUGGUUCCUGUCAUUCCUGUUGCUCAUAGAAAUAAGCAGAUGCAAGGGGAAGAAAGCUAAGCGGGAGCUUCUGCCUCCAGCCUGGGAGAUGGAGAAGGCUGUGGGAGUGGCAGGUGCUCCAGAACCUCCCCUGUGGGGCCAGUGGCUUGGCACACACAGCUUAGUUUGUCCCGACUAUGGAAAUGUUUUUCCUAAGUCUCUUCCAACUUGGUUUUCUGUCGAUAUCUGGGACCACGGGCAGUCAGUCUUAGAAAGUUAAACUGCAAACCUAGCCGUGAAACCAGAGGGCAUUAAGCUGUGAGGGAGGUGUCCAUUGUCUCAUUUAGCUCCUUCUGAGAAUUUUUAGUUUUAGAAGCUGAAAAACACAAUUCUCAAAAUCUGAAUGUCACAUAGGACUCGGGAUGCCUGGCUGUCCCUUUCUGGUCUUUGCUUUACAAAGAAAGCAUUCCUUGAGGACAAGCAGCUUCUUCCUUGGCUCUGCCUUCAAAAAAGAUGCAUAAAAGCUGCACACAGUAGAUGGGAGAGUCACAGAAUGGAAGGAAUGGGGUCAUGAUGGCACCAGUGUGCUGUGGACUUUACCGCCCCUUCUGGUGUUUGUCAGAGAUCUAGAUGUUCCUUCUCCUUCUAAAAACACUAUGCUAAACACCAUGUUUGCAGAAUUAUUCUUAGGAUAUAUUGUGUCUACUACAAGCAACUUUGUGAGAAUCUAAUUGAAAUUAUUGAGGUCCAGAUUUCUUCAUUAAUCAGCACUAUGUGCCAGGUAGUGUUUUAUGUGCCUUAUAAAUACUAAUUAUUUAAUUCUCAUGAUGACCUUAUGGGUAGGUGCCAUUAUUUCCCCCAGAUCUGUGAUGAGGAAACUACAGAUGAGGCUCAGGGAAAUUUAAUAACUGGACAAAGAUAGCCAGCCCUUGGGUCCUGACAAUCUGGUGCCACUUUCCUUGAUCUCAACUGUCCUGUGACAUUUUUUUUGUUGUUGAGUAUGACACUAUGAAUGGAGAUAAAAGUAUGUACAAUUAUACUGAUACGGUAUUCUCUUGUGUUCUGGUUCAGCUUUCUUUUUCUAUGUUAUCACACAAACUCAAGUUUCUAAGUAACCCUCAUGGCCUUCUCUUGAUCUUGUUUUCCAUGAUCUUCUUGGUGCAUUCUUAAAUGCCUAAAUUAUAUUUGCUUAUAUAAAUACCACUUGUGAGAAAUGAUCAGAAGCCCCAAAGUGAAGACCUAAGGAAAAAAGGGGGGUGUAAUGAAAUCAUUUAUAGCAGAAGUGGCAGUGGAAACUAUAGGGAGACACAAUGGAGUCACCAAGGGACGUUUUAAAAAAUUUUAUUGCAAAUGGAGAAAUUAUAAUUCCAUAUAUUUAUGGGAUAAAAAAUGAUAAUACAUAUGCACAAGAGAAAGUAUUCAUUCAAGCUAAUAAAUAUAUCCAUAAUCUCAAAUACUUUUUCUUGUGGUGAUAACCUUUGAAACUUACUCUGAGAUUUUGAAAUAUAUCCUAUUAUUACCAUAUUGUAUUCAUCAUAUUGUACAAUAGAUCUCACAUACCUAAUUCCUCUUGUCUAACUGGAAAAAGUUCCAGUUUUCCAUGGCUUGAGUCCCAUUGGAAGUUGACCUUGAAAUAAGGUUCAAGGGCAAGGUUUUUGGGACAUGAGAACAUGAGAUAGGCAAAGGGCCUAAGAGACUGUGUUAAGGAGUGAGUCACCGUAGUGUGUGAUGGGAGCUUCUUUUCACCAGGGAAAGAAGAAAUCAUGUGCCUUAGUCUUCCCACUCAAUGGGCUGGGGUAUUAAGUUGUGCUACUCCCAGAGGGUGACUGUUCCAGGGCCCCCAGAUUUACUGUGAUUAGAGCAAAUCUUGAAGCAAAGAAGUCCAGGAUUUGGUAGUUGGAAGGGAGGUGGCAUGCCCUAGGUGGGCAGAUGACGAUUGACACUGAAUCCUGCCAUGGUGACUCCCAGCCAGCUCCUCUUUCUCUCAUGUGAUGGCUUGGCUCAGAAAAGGCAGCUGAACAGCACUUUACUUUUUGAGUCAGAUUCUGCAACAUCAACAGUUGAUCAGGGUCUCUAGCACAUAAAGCUGUGGUAGAGUAUCUGAUCAGUUUAUAAAGAACAACCCCUUGGGGGAAUGAAAAAUAAAUUAUUUAUUGUCCCAGUCUUCAUGUGUGACUAUGACUAAAGUUAGUUGAAAAGACACAGAUUGGUCUGAGGAAGUAUGGUUGACAGAGUUGAUGCAUUUCUGAAGGCCAGGCUUUUCUGGAGGGUUCCCAGCCUUUCAAAUGCUAAUUGAGAUCAAGCAAGAGCUGAUGAGGGUGUCAGCUAGUCAGGAGAGGCAGACUCUUGGCACCUCUUGUUUCUUUUUUUAAAAUUUAUUUAUUACAUUCAUGAUAAUAGUGGAAUGCAUUACAUUCAUAAUUAUCCAUUCAUAGCACAAUAUUCAUAACUCUGUAUAUAAAGUAUGUUCACGACAAAUUGUGCCAUUAUACAUGAGCUCUCUUUCUCUCUCUCUCUCUCUCUCUCUCUCUCUCUCUCUCUCUCUCUCUCUCUCUCUCUCUCUCUUUCUCUCUGCAUUAGAUCUUAUUUCUUGUGCAGUCUAUUUCCCACACAGCUUUGCAGUGCUGCAAGUGGAUUUUCCAGGGGGAAGCCUGUGAAUUCCUCCCAACAUUUAAUAAAGUGUAAGCUUAACUAAACAAAGGAACUGAAUGUUUUCCCAUUUUUCUAUUAAAAAUGUUCUGUGUCAUUUGGGGUUUACUUUUGGGGUAUUUCCCACACACACACAUUUUACAAUGCAGGUGGAAUAUAGCAAAAUACAGGAAGCCCUCCUAAUUGAGACUCUAUUUUCUGACUUCUUUUUCUUUCCAGCUAUAACUUACUGUUUGGCCCAGGAAGGAAGCAGGAGCAGGCCUGUAUGCACACUUUUCUAGCCACACUUACACUUAAAGAUACUCUCUUGGUGUAAGCAGAGUCUUUGGAGCAGCCAGACACGAAAGCUUUCUGCUCUUACACAGUAUGAUUGAAGUACCUGUAAAUAGGUUAGGUUAUCCCAAACUGAAGUUGUCACAACCUUUUCUUACAGAAUUUAAGCUCCUCAUUUUCCAAAGACAAAAAGUGUAUAAUAAUCUGUCCCAGAACCUUGUGUCCUAGGAGUGCCUUUUCCUUGACCUCCAGUUUGGUGUAAGCUACUGAGUUGGAAAGAGGUAUGUUCAUGGGUUAUGGUUUGAGUUCCACUGUUUCUGGUGAAGAAAGCACAGCAAGCUGACUUGAGUGACAUCAGCAAUUGAGGCAGCACCCUGAUAACAGAGAAAGAGACAGUAAGCCAGGAGAUGGCCCUCAAAAAGACAGUAUGAGCUUUGGAUUUCCUGGAAAGUCAGCUGUGCUGAACCUGAGAGACCCAUGCCCUUGAACCAAGGAGAAAAACUAAAUCAGAAUCAUCAUGAUUUUGGAGGCUUUCUAAAGAAAAUCUUUCAUGAUGGCUGUUAAGGUGAGUACCUAUUUAGCUGUAGGACUCCACACCAUCAUCAUCCACAGCACCCACAGCUCACCUGUAUCACAUCAUGGUCAUUGUUGUUUUAUAUAAUGAUCCUAAGUCAUUCACAUCCAGACAUGCGAGUGAUGUUUUAUGUUCACAGAUCACUUGUCAAGGCAGGGAAAUUUUGCUUUCGUUUUAAGAUAUAUCCAUUCUAAACAUUUGAAAUAAAAUAAAUAAUUAAAAUUUACUCAUUUAGUGGUUAGUCAAUUGUCAAAAAUUAAGCAUCUUUAAGUGAGGCUGGAAAAAUGUGCAAGCAGCCAUGCUCCUGUUUCCUUUCUCCCGCAAGCAGUAAGUUGUAGCUGGAAAGAAAAGAAGUGAGAAAAUAGUCUCAAUUUGGAGGGCUUCCUGUAUCUUGCUGUAUUUUUCCAGCAAUGUGAAAUGGGGGAUGGUCCCCAAAAGUAAAUUCCAAGCGACACAGAUGUUUUUAGUAGAAAAAUGGAAAAACAUUCAGUUCCUUUGUUAUUUGAAAUCUUUUCUUCUUGUCAGAAUGCUUUUCUCAAAGCCUGGGUAUGAUGAGAUAACAAAUUACAGUUCUAGGAAAUGUUCAUUCCAAAAAGUUUUGAGCUAUUUCCACAUUGGAAAAAUAUUUUAAUCCUUUAUGAUAUAUCAUUGGGUAAUUUUGUAGUCAUUUUCCCUGGGUACCUUCUCAAGCAUAUUUCUCAUGUCAAAUAAUAGACACCAGAAGUUGCUCAUGUCCUUUCAAAUUUUAGAGACAGAGACAGUCCUGGAUGGCCUGGUUUCUGGAUGGUGGCUCCUUGGGUUAGUUAAUGAUUUACAAGACCUUUCACUUCCGUAACAUGUUUUGUUAAUAAAUAGUAUUUCAGUUUUAGAGAAGGUAUUUAAUUUUCCGUAUACUCUUACCACAUCCUUUCACAUUUUUGGCUUGUUUUAAAUUCUGCCUCAUUGGUACUUUCUGUGAUUCUUUGAUGGUAAUUGUGCUGACAGGUUUACCUUGUGUGGCCAGGGAGCUUGCAUUGUCCUGAAGUGUUAGCUGCUGAUAGGUCCUACUGAGGAAGGGCAUGAGGCCAGGUCUGAGAACCCAUGGACACUAUAGUGCAGAACCCUCCAGAUCUGCCAGUAUGGCAGAAACUGGUAGCUCAGAGAGGAGCCUGAUCUGACUGAGGCAGACUGGUGAUUUUGUAUCAACGAGCUUCUCAGGGUUUGAUAAGCAGGUGUGGACCAGGGAAUGUCUGAGGGCAGGUGGUCCCCUGGCUCCUAUUUCUUCUUGUGCUGUCUUGACACUAUUCUACCCUGCACUGCAUCCUAGGCUACUACUACACUGCAGAUUUUGUAGAAGGUCAGCAGUGGCCAGCCUAUGGGGACAAGUCCACCUUAGCUGUUUCCAGCUGUCUCGUUGUCCUAUUCUCUCUCCAGGAUGCAGCCACCUUGUCCUGCCAGGCCCUAAUCCAGGGGAGCUUUUGUUUCCUAGAGUUUUUUUUUUUUUUUUUUUUUUUUUGUGUGUGUGUGUAUCUUUGUGUUGGGGGGACAAUUCCUGGAAUCCACAUUUCUGUCCUGCUCCCUUCCAUUCACCAGGGUUGUGCUGGAUCCAGGUUACCUGUAGCCUGCUCAGGUUCACCACUUGUUGCUGAUUUUAUUUCUUCUUGCACAGCCCUUCAGUGGGACAUUCAUACAGUCUUGGUGAGCCCGAGGAAUAAAGAGGAAGUCUUGUCUCAGGACAAGACAUGGGAUCCAGGGAGUCUCACUUGGGAACACUGCUGAUUAGAAAACAAGAUCACAGAUGGUGAUUUCACAUUCCUCCUGGCCUGUUUUUAGUCCUGUGGGAGGCUGAGGUGGUGUUUUCUUGUUAGGAAUAGAGAUGACGCUGCUGACUGAUGGCUGUUUAUUGCCACUGUGUGGCUUGGCUGGGUUGACUGCUGCUACUCUGGUUAUUAAUGAAUCCUACCAUGACCCUUCAUCAGGUAACUGCACUGGGUCACUUGCCUUUUAGUCGUGCUUCAUGUGAAGUGUCUGUGGCCUGGUCGAGGUGCAUCAGAGUAUCCUUUUGAAGAACUGAUCAAUCUGCAUUGUCUUUGCUCUGGACAGUUCAUCUUAAUGAUGCUCACAUGCACAUGGCUUUUAAAAUUCAUUUAAGGGGCUUCAGACCAUGUUUUCCAUCUGCCAGCCUUUUUGUGGAUUUUGCCCUUCAGAGGAAGACUUGCAGUCAUUAAAGUUUUGCACAUUUUAGUAACUGCCUAUGUUUUCAUUGCACAGCGAAGGAAAUCUUAAAUGGAUUUAUGUACUAUGCUGAGAAUGUUGUGUAAUUGGAGAAUCCCUAAUCCAAAAGUCAGGAAUCUGAAAUGCUCCAAAUCCAAAUUCUCACAAGCACCAAUAUAGCACCACAAGUGGAAGGCAGGACACCUAACUUCAUAUGACAAAGCAGUCAGAACACAGGCAUAGGACACACCUUAGCUAGCAUCCCUGAGGGGAACAACACCUCUCACACUCACUUGUGGGGCAGACUUUAGUUGCUUGUGCAAAAUUAUUUGAAAUAUCAUAUGGAAUUACCUUCAGGCUGUGUGUAUAAAGUAUAUGUGAAAUACAAAUCAAUUUCAUGUCUAUACUUUGGUCUCAUCUCAAAGACAGCUCAUAAUGUAUAUGCAAAUAUUUCCAAAUAGGAAAUACUUCUAGUCCUAAGCAUUUUGGGUAAGGAUUACACCACUGAGUUCCCACAGUGUUGCUAUUAGUUGGAUUCUGUUAUUAUUUCCACUUUACAGAUGAAGCACACGAGGCCAUGCAUCUUACAGAUUACUCUUUCAAGAUCCAAGUAUGUCCUGGAGCUGGGAUUGAACUUAUGUGCUUCAUGAAUUGGUCUGUGUUACAGAAAUCAAGCAAAAUGCACAUUGUUUCUUGUACUUUUCUCUUUCUCUGAUUAUUUGUUGAAAAUGUUAACAACUUAGGUUGAUCUUUUAUUGAAAUUCAAGUUUCUUGACUUCAAAUUGAUGUGCAUUACAAUUACAAACAAAAAUAUACUAUUGCUGAUGGUACUUCAAACUGUGACAUUCAAAAUUCACAGCAAACAUUUAAAAAAUAUGUUGUAAUUAUGCUACACAUUGCUUCCUUAUCCUGCUCCUAUUGAUUGUUCUGGGUAAACAGAACCCUCUUUGCAUAGAGGGAGAAAACUUGGCUUCCAUUCAGCUCAGACCAAGUUUCUGCCAUUCCUAUGUUUGAAUUUUCCCCAGAUUGCUAUGCCCAUCCUUGAGAAGAAGCAAGCUUGGAUGCACUAUAAGAUUUAUUACGUGUUGUGGUUUAAUUUAAAUGAGUGGAUAAAACAACAGUUAUGUAUCUUUAUUGAACCUUUCAAAUUCAUGAGCCCACAGGGUCUCAUGUGCCUUAACAAUUAACUGAGACUCUCAUAGCCUCACAAUUGCUAAAUACAGGGGAAAUGCAGAAAACAACAAUUUCCUUGGUCAGUUGCCCUCUUGAGCCAGCCUGACCAUGAUUUCUGCUCCCCUUGACUUCCUUCACAUGCAUGCUUUUCUCUCUGAAGAUGUUAAUACCAUGAGGAGGAGCUUCUGUCAGCAUUAUUCAUACUCAUUUCAUAGAACUUUGAAAUUCCAAAAGAGAAGUAUACUGAUCCAGCAAUAACCAGCACUGACAUUUUUAUGUAUUAGCUUGUGAUUGAAAUUAGUAUUUUAUAAAAAUAUAAGUUGCAAUCUGCCGGAGUACGGCUGCAGCAAAAUAACUGGGGGGUGACGAACAACUUGUGUAGAUUGAUACAGCAGGAGUGGGAGCCGUUUAUUGCAGGACAGGAGCGGUAUUUAUACAUUCCACACAGCUUAUCUAAUUAGCAUAAACUAGAUACAUCAGUCAACCAAUAAGGAAUCUCCACACUUAAUGGCUUGCUGUUGUUACUUCACAAACCACUCCCUCUGGCAUUUUGCCAGGCGCCAUCCAGACUUGUUUACAGACUCUAACAUUUCUCUGGCAAAAUGCCAGGCGCCAUCCUGACUUGUUUACAGACUCUAACAGCAAUCAAUAAGGUAUAUCUACUCUUAAAAGAACAUAUAUUAUGUAGUUACAUGUUAUUAAAAAUUCAAUAAAAUAAUUUAGUAUCACAUGGAAAAUCCAAUUAUUUUGUCUUAUUAGUUUUUUUGUUUGCUGUUUUUUUAACAAUCUGUAGCACAUUCAUAAUUAUUUCAUUACCGUAAUACUAUUAAAAUUACCCAAGCUUUUAAAUAUUUAUUUGAGAAUAUAACAAUAAGCUUUAUGAAACAUUGCUAUUUCUUAUUCAAUAUAUUUCUAUCUAGUGGUUAAAUCAUCUUUAGUUGAGUGUUGCUGUCAUCUUUAUUUCUCAACCAAGGGCUCAAAGCACACAUUAACAUAACUUAAAUUGGACAUAACGGUAUAUUCUUGUUUGUUUUGAAAAUGAGUCCUGUGGUGUUUCCAGUUUGUUUCAGAGAUUUUUCAUUUUAAUAAAACAGCAUAUUUACAACUUAUUUUAUUAGUUGAAAAUAAAAGUUUUUUUCUAAUAUUUUUUGGUCAGAACUAGUAUAAUUACAAAGUACAAUUAAGCUAAAUGUCUAUUUGUUGGAUCUGACCAGGCUAAAUUGUACAAAGAGGUUUAAUAUUCAAGCCAAAAUCCUGAAGUCCUUCUAUUAGACUAAGUCACAUACAAGAAAAGUCAGGGUUUUAUUGUCAUGUUACCAUUCCAGAUUCUGUGACAUGUUAAUUUUUGAAAUCCAGUCUUAUAUCUCUCUUGAUAUCAUGUUUUAUGUAUGCUGUGGACCUUCAUGAGUAUUUAUUUACAAGAUAAUUUGUUAUUGUUGGUCUUUUGUUUCUAAUGAUUGAAUAUAUAGGAGGAAUUGGUUCACUUUUGCAGUAAAUGGCCAAAGUCUUUGUCUGGGCUGCUAUGACAAAGUACCAUCAACUAGGUAGUUUAUAAACAACAGAACGUUAUUACUUUAUGUUCUUUAGGGUGAGAAGUCAGGGAUCAGAUACAGUAGAUUUGGUGUCUGGCAGGGCUUCCUGUUUUUAUAGAAAGCUCAUCCUCCAUGAUGUAAGUAUUAGGGUUAGCUUCCUAAGGCACUAAUUUUAUUUAUGAGGGAUCUGCCCUCAUCACCUAGUUGCCUCCCAGAAGGCCCUGAUUUCUAAUGUCAUCACUGUGGGUUGUGAUUUCAACAUACCAAUACCAGGGAGAGACAAACAUCAGCCCACAGCAACCAGAUAGCAAAUGUCAUGGGAUCUGUGGACAGUAAGGUCUUUCCCAUAAACACUUGGCUCUGCCUUUGCAGUGGGAAGUGGUUCUUAACAGUCUGUAAAUUAAUGUGCUUGGCAAAUGCAAAACACACACUAAUGUAUGGAUCAGGGAGAGAAAAUGAUUCUAUAUAGAAAAUAGUUCUUAUAUAGAAACAUCUAAGAUUGGAAACAUUGGAAUCAAACACUUAUAAUGAAAGUAGCAUCAAAAGAUAGUAUUAAAAUAGUAGAGAUAUUUGCUUUUCUUUCUUCUGAACAUGAAAUUAUUGGAGAAUUUUCUGACUUUUGGACAAAUGAAUAGAAUACUUAAUUAUCCAAAUUCUCAGCUUAAGUGAUUAUGUCUAAAUUAGAGGACCAAUAAUUUUAUCUGUAUCACAUAAUUUAGAAGUGAUGAUCAUUGACAUCCUUCUCUCUAUCCCCUCAUAAUUUUGAUAGACAUUUAUAUCUGCCAGCAUAAUUUUAUUUCAAUUACUAACAAGGGUUUUGCCAAGUUUACUCAUUCUUUCAAAGAAGAGAAUAUAAUGAGACACCACUUGAAGACCCAUGUUAGAAAAAUAGAGAGGAAUAAUUAGAACAACUUCUAUUGCUAUUUCCAGGGGAAGAAAAGUCAAUGUUCUGAGGAUCCUUGCUACAUAACAUGAUGAGACUGCAGUGAUUUGUGGUAGGUUGAAAUUGAGAUAGCUUGAUUUGAGAACUCCUGAGUUCCAGAGAUUUGUAUAAAAAAUACAAUUUGGGAUGAAAACAAGCCUAUAUUAUUUAUGCUUAUUUAUAUUAGAUAUUUAACUUUGUUAUUUUCCUUAUUUAGUGAGCUCUAUUAUAAGAGUUGAUACAUUGUUUCAGACCCGGUAUUGUCUGUUGUUACUAGAAUCAGGACUGAGUUGUAAUUUUAAUUAUGUACCAUAUGCUCACACAUACAUGUUUAUACAUACACACACAGUCUUAAACAGUCUUAAAAACAUGGGAAAACUUUUUAAAAAUCUUUUAGAUUUUGUACCACUCAGCACAUAGGCAGUCACCACUCAGGACAUAAGCAAUCACAUAAGCUUAAAUGCAUGGAAACCCAGCCAGCACCACCCCCUGACUCAAUACACUGCUCAAGUUUAUGGAAUGGGACUUCAACACCUCCAGGGGCUUUAAAUAACAUCUUUUAUUUAAAGGGCCCUGCUAAAUUCAACACAGAGCACAGACACAGUCCAUCUGUAAUAACCAACAGUAGAUCGGAGAGGACAGGACAGAGAGAACUGUGUGUUUUAGCAAGAGAAUUAUGGACAGUUGCAUAGGCUGGUACACAGCUUUGUCCCCUUCCUGCUCAUGACUCUCUCCUUCUCAUUUUUAUAUAAAAUCCUUCUUACCUUCUUAUACUCUCAAACCCUGGGAGGCCUGGGACUUUUUUCCUUCUGUACUUAGCUGAUGAAUUUCACUCAGACCCACACAUAACAUUUUAAGUUAUGUAUUUCUGAUGUCCAGAUGUGUAGCUCCAGCUGGAUCUCUUCCUUGAAUUGCAGUUUUUUUCUCAACCGCCUAUUCCAGGGCUCCUGCUGAGUCAAUAAUGCUUUACAUAUCUCAAGCAGGGGCCACCAACCACCACUUUGCUCUCCCCUUUCCUUCCUCCUGGGCAGUAUAUAGUACCACCAUUUGCCCAGUUGUUCAGGAAAAAGCCAGGGCAUUAUCCCUGACUACUUUUCCUCUCUCCUCACAUUCAAUCCAUAAUCAAGUCUGCAAUCUUGUCCUUAAAGUCUUCAUCAUUAAUACUCAUAUUGAAAUAUAUAUAUAUAUAUAUAUAUAUAUAUAUAUAUAUAUACACACACACACACACAUAAACAAGACAUGUAUGCACACACAGACAUGUAUUCACGUACAUUUUGUGACUCAAUUUGUAUUUAUCUAUAUAUACAUAUCUACCCACAUACAUAAAAAUAACUAUACUUCUAUUUUGUCAUUUGAGAUUUUAUAUAUGUAUAUGCACACAUAUAGACAUAUAUACACAUAUUGUGACUUGAUCAAGAUUUUACGUAUAUGUACACACAUACAAACAUCCAAUAUACACAUAGAGUAGAAAUACAUAUACACAUGUGUAUUUUGUGACUUGAUAUUGUGUUGCAUGCUGAUUUUUUGCUUAAUAGUUUCUCAUCUAUGCUUCUAUUAAAUCCAAGAUGAUGAGUAUUGUAUUUGUUUGUUGCUGAAAGUUUAAGAAUAACUGGUAUUUAAAAAGUUAAGGGCUGCAGCAUAAGUCCUAGGUUUGGCAUCUGCCGAUACAUAGGGAGAUAACAAAUUCUACCUUUCUGCUCAUUUUUUCUCAUCUUUCUCAUUUCUUCUAGUACCAGAAAUUCUGAGAUUUGAAGCACAGAGUAAAUGAGGCAUUUCUAUUUACAAAUGAGUAAAGUGCUGCUUCAGAUUGCACACUAAGCACUUGGGUAAACAAACAACCAUGUCGCUGUGCUUUCUACUAUGCCCUUCCUCAACUUGACCAAUAGUGAUAUAUAAGAAUGUUGGGAAGAACUUAGGGUCUUGAUCUUAUUCUUUGGAAUUUAGGUAAAGAGAAUCUUUUGGUCAAUUACUAAUACAGUAGUAGUCUAUGACUAUACUCAGGUUAUUUAAAUUUCAAGUAAUUUCUGUAGCAGCUUGGAUUGUAACUGAAGGUCAACCUGGGAUUUAACAUGAGGAAAAACUGGUGGUAUCAUGAUGUUAGAGGCCUCUGAGCCCCUAGACAUGGUAUUUAUGCUUAAUAUUCAUAGCAACACUUGGUUUUAUGGAAAACAGGACAGUUUUAUUUUCUAUUUGCAAAUGAGUAAAGUGUUGCUUCAGAUUGAAGAGUAAGCACUUGGGUAGAAAAACAACCAUGUCCCUGUGAUUUCUACUCUGCCCUUCCUCAACUUGACCAAAAUUCAGCAUGUGGACCAAAUGUAGCACCUGUUUAUUUAGCAUGAUAGAGCCUGCUGUUAAGCCAUGCAUUUAAUUCAUAUAGUAAUCCAGAUGGAUCUAAAUUAAGUUCCCAAAUUUCUCCAGCAGAGAACAUUCUUUGGUAUCCUUUGCUUAUAUAUUCCCAUGUUUCAGGUUUUACUUGAGGUAUUUUCUGUAGUGAAUAAAGAAAAGAGACCCCCUAUGCACCUACAUUUUCUACUAAAAGUGGUCCCAUUAGGACGUCGCCUGUGUACCAAGGUCAGCCUUCACUGGAUUCUUUAGAAAAGACUUCAUUGCUAACCCUGAAAUCACAAAAUAUUUAUAGUAUGCCACUUAGCUGGCUUUAAAUGUUUCUUCCACACUCAUUGCCUCAGGGUUUGUUCUCCUUACUCCAUUAUAAAACUUGAGUCUUCCUGAGAGAGAGCAGGUAAGGCAAGGGCCUGUGUGGUGCUUGAGAAGAAAAUCUGACAUCAUUUACUGUUUUCCUACAGUGGUUCUCAAUGGGCCCUUUUGGUUGAGGGUCUCCACUGCUCUUUGUUCUGAAAGGCUGGUAGUUGGCAUUGUAGUUUUUUGGUUUUUUUUUUUUUAAUACUAUAUACUGUUUCCUCAUGUUCCCGAAAGGAAAUAUGUUUAAUUGCUCUCAAGUAAGUGAAUCACAGACAAAUCAAUACCCUCAAGAAUAAGACCAAGUGAUCAGCACAUAUAGAAAAAAAUAUGUCCAUCUGAUUUCCAGUUCAGGUAUCUCUUAAAGUUAGUUAACAGGGGCUAUCUUACUCCUCACAUCUCUGAAUUUGUACCUUUUGUUAUCCUUCACUCACUAGAUAUGUCUAGAUCAUUGGAAUCAUUUUAUUCCUUGUGGGUCUUUCAAAUAGUUUAGUUUGACUUUGAUCACUGAAAAAGCUGAAAAACACUAAUUUAAGACACUUGGUAAUGACACCUAAUUUGUAUGCAUAGCCCUAAGACUCAUGUGCCUGGAUGUACAGGGUGUAAACUGGGUGUCCACACAUAUGUUCCAUGCCUCAUUGUUGCCUCCACUUGGGAAAAUAUGGUGAUUUGCCCAGUUGAAAAGUCUUCAACAACUAUUGCUCAGAAUGUAAGUGACAGGUCUUUGAG